GACGAACGCUGGCGGCGUGCUUAACACAUGCAAGUCGAACGGAAAGGCCCUGCGUUUGUGGGGUGCUCGAGUGGCGAACGGGUGAGUAACACGUGAGUAACCUGCCCUUGACGUUGGGAUAACUUCAGGAAACUGGGGCCAAUACCGGAUAGGAGCUCCUGCUGCAUGGUGGGGGUUGGAAAGUUUCGGCGGCCGGGGAUGGACGCGCGGCUUAUCAGCUUGUUGGUGGGGUAGUGGCUUACCAAGUCUUUGACGGGUAGCCGGCCUGGGAGGGUGACCGGCCUCCUUGGGACUGAGAGAGGGACCAGACUGCUACGGGCGGCAGCAGGCGGGAGCAUUGCGCAAUGACGGGGCGCCAGAUGCAGAAACGCCCGGAGCGGGAAGACGGGCUUCGGGUUGUGAACAAAUUUCGCAUGUAACGUAGAGGGCGUGACGGUAAUUGGUAAAGAAGCACCGGCUAACUACGUG
rnacentral:rRNA from 1 species